ACCGGGUGUGGUGGCUCACGCCUGUAAUCCUAGCACUUUGGGAGGCCGGGGUGGGUGGAUCACCUGAGGUCAGGAGUUCAAAACCAGCCUGGCCAUCAUGGUGAAACCCCAUCUUUAUGUUUUUAUAAAUAAAUAAAUAAAAAGAUGGGGUUUCAUCCUGAUGGCCAGGCUGGUUUUGAACUCCUGACCUCAGGUGAUCCACCCACCCCGG
rnacentral:SRP_RNA from 1 species